rnacentral:rRNA from 1 species
UACGUAGGGGGCAAGCGUUGUCCGGAUUUAUUGGGCGUAAAGAGCUCGUAGGCGGUUUGGUAAGUCUGGUGUGAAAUCUCCACGCUCAACGUGGAGGGGCCACCCGAUACUGCCAUGACUGGAGUCCGGUAGAGGAGUGUGGAAUUCCCGGUGUAGUGGUGAAAUGCGUAGAGAUCGGGAGGAACACCAGUGGCGAAGGCGGCUUGCUGGGCCGGACCUGACGCUGAGGCGCGAAAGCGUGGGGAGCGAACAGG